rnacentral:rRNA from 1 species
UAAUCCGGGUUGCGGACAGUGUCUGGUGGGUAGUUUGACUGGGGCGGUCUCCUCCUAAAGAGUAACGGAGGAGCACGAAGGUUGGCUAAUCCUGGUCGGACAUCAGGAGGUUAGUGCAAUGGCAUAAGCCAGCUUGACUGCGAGCGUGACGGCGCGAGCAGGUGCGAAAGCAGGUCAUAGUGAUCCGGUGGUUCUGAAUGGAAGGGCCAUCGCUCAACGGAUAAAAGGUACUCCGGGGAUAACAGGCUGAUACCGCCCAAGAGUUCAUAUCGACGGCGGUGUUUGGCACCUCGAUGUCGGCUCAUCACAUCCUGGGGCUGAAGUAGGUCCCAAGGGUAUGGCUGUUCGCCAUUUAAAGUGGUACGCGAGCUGGGUUUAGAACGUCGUGAGACAGUUCGGUCCCUAUCUGCCGUGGGCGCUGGAGAACUGAGGGGGGCUGCUCCUAGUACGAGAGGACCGGAGUGGACGCAUCACUGGUGUUCGGGUUGUCAUGCCAAUGGCACUGCCCGGUAGCUAAAUGCGGAAGAGAUAAGUGCUGAAAGCAUCUAAGCACGAAACUUGCCCCGAGAUGAGUUCUCCCUGA